rnacentral:rRNA from 1 species
UUUUAUGGAGAGUUUGAUCCUGGCUCAGGAUGAACGCUGGCGGCGUGCCUAAUACAUGCAAGUCGAGCGAACGGACGAGAAGCUUGCUUCUCUGAUGUUAGCGGCGGACGGGUGAGUAACACGUGGAUAACCUACCUAUAAGACUGGGAUAACUUCGGGAAACCGGAGCUAAUACCAGAUAAUAUUUUGAACCGCAUGGUUCAAAAGUGAAAGACGGUCUUGCUGUCACUUAUAGAUGGAUCCGCGCUGCAUUAGCUAGUUGGUAAGGUAACGGCUUACCAAGGCAACGAUGCAUAGCCGACCUGAGAGGGUGAUCGGCCACACUGGAACUGAGACACGGUCCAGACUCCUACGGGAGGCAGCAGUAGGGAAUCUUCCGCAAUGGGCGAAAGCCUGACGGAGCAACGCCGCGUGAGUGAUGAAAGUCUUCGGAUCGUAAAACUCUGUUAUUAGGGAAGAACAUAUGUGUAAGUAACUGUGCACAUCUUGACGGUACCUAAUCAGAAAGCCACGGCUAACUACGUGCCAGCAGCCGCGGUAAUACGUAGGUGGCAAGCGUUAUCCGGAAUUAUUGGGCGUAAAGCGCGCGUAGGCGGUUUUUUAAGUCUGAUGUGAAAGCCCACGGCUCAACCGUGGAGGGUCAUUGGAAACUGGAAAACUUGAGUGCAGAAGAGGAAAGUGGAAUUCCAUGUGUAGCGGUGAAAUGCGC